AGAGUUUGAUCAUGGCUCAGGACGAACGCUGGCGGCGUGCCUAACACAUGCAAGUCGAGCGAGGUCCAUUCGGUAGCAAUACCGAUGAAGACCUAGCGGCGAACGGGUGAGUAACACGUGAGAACCUGCCCCAAAGUCUGGGAUAACCCGGGGAAACCCGAGCUAAUACCGGAUACCUUCUUUUGAUCGCAUGGUCAGCUGAAGAAAGUUUUUUCGCUUUGGGAGGGUCUCGCGGCCUAUCAGUUUGUUGGUGGGGUAACGGCCUACCAAGACAUCGACGGGUAGCUGGUCUGAGAGGACGAUCAGCCACACUGGGACUGAGACACGGCCCAGACUCCUACGGGAGGCAGCAGUGGGGAAUCUUGCGCAAUGGGCGAAAGCCUGACGCAGCAACGCCGCGUGCGGGAUGACGGCCUUCGGGUUGUAAACCGCUUUCAGCAGGGACGAAAUUGACGGUACCUGCAGAAGAAGCCCCGGCCAACUACGUGCCAGCAGCCGCGGUAACACGUAGGGGGCGAGCGUUGUCCGGAUUUAUUGGGCGUAAAGAGCUCGUAGGCGGCUUUGUCAGUCGGGUGUGAAACCUCCAGGCUCAACCUGGAGCCGCCACCCGAUACUGCAAUAGCUAGAGUCCGGUAGGGGAGCAUGGAACUCCUGGUGUAGCGGUGAAAUGCGCAGAUAUCAGGAAGAACACCAGUGGCGAAGGCGGUGCUCUGGGCCGGAACUGACGCUGAGGAGCGAAAGCGUGGGGAGCAAACAGGAUUAGAUACCCUAGUAGUCC
rnacentral:rRNA from 1 species